rnacentral:rRNA from 1 species
UACGAAAGGUGCAAGCGUUACUCGGAAUCACUGGGCGUAAAGCGCACGUAGGCGGACUCGCAGGUCAAUUGUGAAAUACCUGGGCUCAACCCGGGAACUGCAGUUGAAACCGCUUGUCUUGAAUACCUGAGAGGGUGGGGGAAUACCUGGUGGAGAAGUGAAAUUCGUAGAGAUCAGGUGGAACACCGGAGGCGAAGGCGCCUGCCUGGCAGUGUAUUGACGUGAGGUGCGAAAAGUUGCGGGGGAGCAAAACAGG